rnacentral:rRNA from 1 species
ACAAGUACCGUGAGGGAAAGUUGAAAAGAACUUAGAGGUGAGAGUUCAACAGGGCGUAAAACCGCUUAGAAGCAAACGGUUGGUGCUGACAUUACAUCUGUCGGAUUCAGCUGGUUCAAUGGUGGUUCUUUUGUACUCCGAUCGCAAGACGGUUGUGCAGAAUGCAUCUGUCUUGAGCCAGUGCAUUUUCGAUAGAUUGCAUCAUGACCGACAGCUGCGCUGGCAUAUGGCUAGCAGACUGCCGACUGUGGGAUUUCGGUCCUGCAGUGUCCCAUCUGCUGUGCUUGAUACACCGGGUUGCAGUUGUCGGAUAACCGAACGCGUCCGCUUUGCUCAUCUAGGGUCGUUUACUGGUCGACUGAAUUGUACCUUGCUUGCAAGUUGCGGUACUCUCGGCUUUUAGGCGGUUUUAGUUAUGAGUGGCGCUAAAGGUCUAUGAUGUCCGCGUCAGUCUCCCAACCGACCCGUCUUGAAACACGGACCAAGGAGUCUAACAUGUGCGCAAGUCAUGGGGUGACAAACCCAAAGGCGUAAUGAAAGUAAAGGCCGCAAGGCCGAGGUGUGAUGUCUGGUUUAACCGGACCGCAACACCGUCCCAUCGCAUCGGCUCGUCCGAGCGGUGGCGAAAGAGCGUACCUGUUGGGACCCGAAAGAUGGUGAACUAUGCCUGAGCAGGAUGAAGCCAGAGGAAACUCUGGUGGAGGUCCGUAGCGGUUCUGACGUGCAAAUCGAUCGUCAGACUUGGGUAUAGGGGCGAAAGACUAAUCGAACCAUCUAGUAGCUGGUUCCUUCCGA